rfam:Salmo salar isolate Sally breed double haploid chromosome ssa27, whole genome shotgun sequence.
UGCAUUCACUACUGUAAGUCGCUCUGGAUAAGAGUGUGUCUGCUAAAUUGCUAAAA